GACGAACGCUGGCGGCGUGCUUAACACAUGCAAGUCGAGCGGUAAGGCCCUUUCGGGGGUACGACGAGCGGCGAACGGGUGAGUAACACGUGGGUGACCUGCCCUUACGCUCUGGGAGUAAGCCUGGGAAACGUAGGGUCUAAUACCGGAUAUGACUCCAUGACGCAUGUUGUGGGGUGGAAAGCCUUGUGCGGCUAGGGAUGGGCCCGCGGCCUAUCAGCUUGUUGGUGGGGUGAUGGCCUACC
rnacentral:rRNA from 1 species